UGAUAAGAGACUUUAGCUGGGCAGUAUUGCCUGCUGGUUUGCUGAAGAAGCAGAGGUGCUGCCUCUGCUUUCCCCUCACCCCAUCUUGACACUUUCCAUCAGCCUGCUCAGCUGGGGCUUGGUGCUGGCACCACGGAGGCUGGCUGCUCCUCUCCUGGAUGGGGACUUCCUGACAGUGAGACACAAGAAGUGCGACUGAGGCCCCCAACCUGCCUCACCAGACAACCAGUGAAUAGUACAGCUUCUUCAGCAGCUGCACUGUGGUCUGGGCUGGAACCAAUAUUUAAGGUGCUGUGCAGAUGGAGACUACUGGACAUCCUUUGUACCUUACAGUUUGUAUUCAACAGUGACAAGACAGAAGAAGGACGGGGAAACCAGGAGAGGUAA
rnacentral:lncRNA from 1 species